GAUGAAGAACGUAGCGAAAUGCGAUAAGUAGUGUGAAUUGCAGAAUUCAGUGAAUCAUCGAAUCUUUGAACGCACAUUGCGCCCUUUGGUAUUCCAAAGGGCAUGCCUGUUCGAGCGUCAUUUGUACCCUCAAGCUUUGCUUGGUGUUGAGCGUCUUGUCUCUAGCUUUGCUGGAGACUCGCCUUAAAGUAAUUGGCAGCCGGCCUACUGGUUUCGGAGCGCAGCACAAGUCGCACUCUCUAUCAGCAAAGGUCUAGCAUCCAUUAAGCCUUUUUUUUCAACUUUUGACCUCGGAUCAGGUAGGGAUACCCGCUGAACUUAAGCAUAUCAAUAAGCGGAGA
rnacentral:misc_RNA from 1 species